GACGAACGCUGGCGGCGUGCUUAACACAUGCAAGUCGAACGAAAGGGCCCGGUUUUUGGGGGGUGUCGGGUGGCGGAAGGGGGGAGAAACACGGGAGUACCUGCCCCUUGACUUGGGGUUAACUCAGGGAAACGGGGGCAAUAACCGAAUAGAAGCUCCUGCGCCAGGGGGGGGGUGGGAAGUUUUCGCGGUUGGGGGUGGGCCCGCGGGUUAUCAGCUUGUUGGUGGGGGAGGGGGGUACCAAGGCUUUGAAGGGUAGCCGGCCUUAGAGGGUGACCGGCCACAUUGGGACUGAGAUACGGCCCAGACUCCUACGGGAGGCAGCAGUGGGGAAUAUUGCACAAUGGGCGGAAGCCUGAUGCAGCAACGCCGCGUGCGGGAUGACGGCCUUCGGGUUGUAAACCGCUUUCGCCUGUGACGAAGCGUGAGUGACGGUAAUGGGUAAAGAAGCACCGGCUAACUACGUG
rnacentral:rRNA from 1 species